UUUUUUUUUUUUUUUUUGCUGAAACUGUUCUUGAACUCAUGGGCUCAAGUGAUUUUCCCACCUCAGCCUCCCAAAGUGCUGGGAUUAUAGGGGGAACCACUGUGCCCAGCACCCAAUCAUUGUUUAUUUAUAUACAGUAUCACACUUAAUCUCACAGCAACAAUGAACUAAGUGAUGGAGAUUUUUUUGAAAAAGAAUGUAAACAUUUAGGGAAGGUCUUUCCAAGAUUACACAGCUAGUAAGUAUAAUGGUAGGAUCUGAACCCCUCACUGUGUGACUACAAAGCGCGUGUUUAUUUUCAGAUUACAUUGCAAAAAACCCCAGAGUCUUUAAAUGGUUAAUGGAGAUUAUGAAAAUAUGUUUAACAUUUCUAUACUUAUAUGAGAGUCCCUCAGGCUUUUAUUUAGGGGCUAGCUUUAUUUCAGAUAAUUCAAGUAAGAAUUUGGUUUCUAAGCUUACAUAGUAUAGAAGCAGUAAAUGAGAACAGGGACAUUUAUAGGUUGUUAGGCUGAUAGAAUGAAACACUUGUCUGUAAAAGUAAAGCAAUCGGGGAAUAUUGAUAGGGACAGACAACCUUGUUUAUAUCAGUAGUUUCUAAUAAAUAUUACUGUAUCAUAUCAAAAUUAACGUUUGUUGUGCAAUCUAAAUUUUUAAGAAAUGCAUGGUAUGUUUAAUAUACUCUGUUUAAAAAGAUAUAAAGUUAGUAUGUUAUAGAAAUAAUUAAUCCAGAGUAAAACUUCUAAAGCUUAGUAGAGAAACUUAAAAAGAGCUGAAAUUUCAGUUCAUAAGAAAACUUGAAUUUUUAGGAUUUCUCUAAAACUUCAGAAUAGCUGAAAUUUUUACCAGUGGGCUAAUUAGUAAUUUGUGACUUGCUAUCUAUCUAAUUCUAAUGACCAUGCAGUACAUAAUUAUUAACUUGCACUUUUAUUUUACAUAAAAGUAAUUUCAAUUCAUGUAUACUUAGUCUUAAUAAGUUAUUAAUAUAGCAUUGUUAUCUCACAGCUUAACAAAAUAGAGGUGAGACUGUUUAAUAUCUCACUUAAAGCCAUUGGCACAAUACAGUUUUUGAUACAGAGUGAAUAUGACACCUCUUAAAAAGGACCAAAACCCAGGAAAACUUAAGUUUGAACUUUUUAGUAAGUGGUAUGACAACAUUGCUGUUGAUAAGUUGGUGUUUUUUUGCUUUUGUGUUUGAGAGGGGUCUCACACUGUUGUCCAAGCUAGAGUGCAGUAGUGAGAUCAUGGCUCACUAUAGCCUUUGCUUUUGGGGCUCAAGCUUUCCUCUCACCUCAGCCUCCUGAGUAGCUGGGACCAUAGCAGUUAUGUCACCACACCCAGCUAAUUUUUAAAAUUUUUUGUAGAGACGAAGUCUUACUAUAUUGCCCAGACUGGCCUUGUACUCCUGGCCUCAAGUGAUCCUCCUCCCUUCCUUUCCCAGAGUGCUGGGAUUACAAGUGUGAGCCACUGUGGCCCAGCUCAUAAGGUUCUUGAAGGAAUAAAAAUGACCCAUCAUGCCAGGUGUGGUGCUGUGUGCCUGUAGUCUUAGCUACUAGGGUGGCUGAGGUGGAAGGAUUGCUUUAGCCCAGGAGGUUGAGGCUGUGGUGAGCUGUGAUCAAGACAUUGCACUCUAGUCGUAACAGAGUGAGACCCUAUGUCAAAACAAAAACCAAAACCAUUAUUUUUCUACAUUUUUUUGAGUCUUGAGGUAAUAAGACAACAUUUGAUGAGUAUUUUGAAGUGUUAACUUAGUUGUCCAGUGUCCCAUUCUAGUGAGAACAAGAUUUCAGGAUUUAUUCUUGAUUGAGUUCAUAAGGGAUACUCUGUUUUCUGAUCAUACUCUUGCCUUUGGAAUGUUGUAUUGUUGCAAAAGUGUACAUCAUUGACCAGAGAAGGGAGACUGGAUGACUGUGGAUAAAUGAGCAUAGACAUACAUGUAAGUAGAAAAAUCAACCCUGGCAUAUAUUUUGUUGAUGGUGGGUUAGCUGGACUGUAUUUAGAUAGUAUUUGAAGAGCAGUGUUUUUCAGUAGAGUAACAUUUGAGUUUUCCAAACUCAGGGAACGUCUCCAUUGGUUAGAACAAAAUAUUACUGGUAAGAGCAAUAAGAUAAUCAGCAGAAACUAGCAUUUUUUUUUUUUUUUUGACUAUAGCUCUCUUUUUGGUUGUUGGUUCUUAAUGCCUAAUGUCAAUAUUAGCAAGGCUGAGAAGUAUACAUGAAACAGCUGGUAAAGGAGUGAGUCGAGGGAGGUGAGGGUGCGUAUGUCACAGUGGCAAGUGAGGGUGCGUAUGUCACAGUGGCAAGAUUAUAAAUUUGAUAAUGUGUUGGAAAGUAGACCUCUGACAACGGUAAGUUCUAAGAGCAGAGAUCAGAGAUGAUCACAGAGGAGGAGAUGGAGAUGGAAGAGAAAGGAACUCUAGUAGAAUAUUUGAAGCACUAUUGGAAAAAGAAAGGCAAAAUAGGCACAGAGGGCAUUGACCUAUGACAGUAGGCCUAGAGGCUAUUGCACUUUUUGGGCAAUGACAGAAAACCAGUUAGUAUUCUAUAGAGUUUAUUAUAAAACAGUGUCAAGUUGAACAUAUUAAUAAUCGUGUGCCAAAGAUUUCUGUACCGUUGUAUUAAUUUGCUGGGGCUGCCAUAACAAAAUACCACAGAUUGAGUGGCUUAAAAAACAGAAAUUUAUUUUCCUACACUUCUGGUGACUAGAAGUCCAACAUGAAGGUGUUGUCAGGUUUGGUUUCUCCUGGAACCUCUUUUUUUUGGCUUGCAGGUAGCUGCUGUUUGCUGUAUCCUUCCGUGACCUUUUUUUGUAGUGCACACAUCCCUGGCAUCUCUUGUUAUAAGGACACCCAUCCUAUUGAAGUAGGACUUUUCCUUAUGACCUCAUUUAACUUCAUUACUUCUUUAAAGAUCCUAUCUCCAAAUACACUCACAUUGCAGAUUAGGGCUUUAACAUACAAAUUUUGGGAGAACAGCACAGUUCAGUACAUAACAACAAUAGUGUAAACCCAAAUAGCAGAAAAGAAUAGAAGGUAAAUUUUCUCUAGAGAAAGGCAUAAUGGAAAAAAAUAUAAGAAAGAAAGGAGGAAGGUGGGCAAGAUGGCUGACUAGACACAGCCAGCUGGAAUGGCUGCCACUGAGGGACUGGGACAACUGGCACACUCCUAACACAUCUUCGGAGGGAAGGCACUGAGAGUAGACAGAGGGAAGACACAGAUGUUGGGAUGAAGUGGGAGGAACCUGGGAACCCUGCACAGGGCUACUAUGCACCGGGACUUGUGACUCCAGGGAAACGGGUGAGUUGAACUGGCAAGGAACAAUCUGCUCUUACCACAAACCUCGGAAUCCUGGCAGGAGGAGAUCCCUCAACCAUCAGGGACACUUGAGUUGGCAGGGAGAGCUGCUUGAUUCUCAAGCACACUUGAGAAGUGAUAGAGGCAGCACUCCAGUCAGUGCAGAGCGCAGAGGGUUUGGUGCAGGAGUGUCUGUAGUGGAGCAUGGCCAGGGAUGCCCAUCACCCUAGGCUCGACUUGCUCCCAUAGGAGACUUUAGCCCUAGAGGAAGUCAGACCUGAACUCUGCAGGGCAGUCUUGUCCAUCAACCUGAGCGUGCUUUGGUCCGCUGGCCUCUCCUGGGGACCCAGCCUGGUUGCGCCUGCUUGCUGUGAAGCCUUGUGUACCCUGAGGACCUGCAUCAUAGCUCCUGGGCUGGCUGACCUGACUACACUUUAAUGCAGAGACCUCCAGUAGAAUAGCCCCUGUGGGCCGGGGCGGUGGCUCAUGCCUGUAAUCCCAACCCUUUGGGAGGCCAAGGUGGGCGGAUCACCUGAGGUUGGGAGUUUGAGACCAACCUGGCAAACAUGAAGAAACCCCGUCUCUACUAAAAAUACAAAAUUAGCCGGGCAUGUGAUGUAUGCCUGUAACCCCAGCUACUUGGGAGGCUGAGGCAGGAGUAUCGCUUGAACCUGGGAGGCGGAGGUUGUGGUGAGCUGAGAUUGCGCCAUUGCACUCCAGCCUGGGCAACAAGUGCGAAACUCCAUCUCAAAAAAAAAAAAAAAAAAAAA
ensembl:lncRNA